GAAAUUUGUUAAUGAAAUCUCGCAAAAGAGCUCGGAAGCUUAAUUCUUCGUCUCCAGAAUCCCAAUUCCGAUCCUCAUUCCUGACUUCAUUGGUUUUUUUUCAUUCUCUCACUCACUCACUCACUAAGAAGCAUACCAGAAUUUGAAGGCUUUCUCAUUCCAAGAGCUCAGGGAUUCAACCAAUGGCUUCAGCAGGUCGCAAAAGCUUGGUGAAGGAGGCUUUGGGAGUGUGUACUCCAAUUUUGGUUGCCAUAAAAAAGUUGAAUCCACAUAGCUUACAGGUCAUAAAGCAUGGCUUGCAGAGGUUCAAUUUCUUGGUGUGGUAAAUCACCCAAAUCUGGUAAAGCUUCCAGGAUAUUGCUCUAUAAAUGGAGAAAAAGGGAUUCAACGGCUACUGGUAUAUGAAUAUAUGCCUAAUAGAAGCUUAGAAGAUCAUCUUUUCAACAGGGCUUUGAACCCUCUUCCUUGGCUCAAGGAUUGGCUUAUCUACACGAGGAACUGGAAGUCCAGGUGAAUAUAGUUUUCAUUUAUUUGACCUAUGUGUGACCAUGUAUUUCCUUUGAGUUUGUUUGGAAUGUAGAACUACCGUAUCAUGUGAACAUGUGACUCAUCUAUGUGAAUUUGACCAAUGGAAUACCAAAUCAGUAUAAUAACCUGCUUAAGCUAGUGAAGUAUUAGAACUAGGACUAGGAUGUAGCAACUACUUAUUACGUCAUACAUCUUCUACUUGUUUGCUGCAUUUAUAGUGACAUCUCUGGUUUUGGAAUAAAAAUUGUAUGUGCUACUACUAUAAUUGCCUUAAGUUGCAUACAUUGGUGGACACUGUCACGUCAGUAACCGUCCAUUAUCUUGAAUGUAUUCCGUACUCUAAAAACUUUAGCUGUUGGGACCCUGUGGUUGUGUCACAUGGUGUAAGAGUUCUUGAGUUCGCAGUUGUUCGGAAAUCCUCAAGGGCUUAUUGAGUGCGCCAAGGCUUUGGAUCAGAUCAGAUGAAUCGAUUUUGGGUGUAAUUUGCUCUAACAAAAACAAAGCAAAACCAAGGAUCAUGGAACACAUGCAUAAGUCAUUGGCAACUGCAACUUCUUAAGCUCAAAGAGCUUGUGCUGACCCCAUGGUAGACAGAUUGAGUAGUGUUCCAUGCGAAGUUGCUCACCAAAUUCUUUCAUUGGUCAGUUUUAAAGAUCUCACUCGCGUGGGCAGCAUGUCCAAAAGAUGCAGAGAGUUUUAUCUAUCAACUCCAUCAUUGAAUUUUUCUUCCUUGUAUGGAAACAGGCAGCAGCAAUUGCACUUGUUGAAUUGUAUAGAUAGGUAUAUGAUUCGUCGCAGGGAUGAUAAGAUAAAGAGCUUUCGUUUUCAUUGGUGUUUCUCUGCAGGAAUUUCAGAAGAGAGUUUCCGAAUGAUGACUUGGAUCCUUAUUGCAGUGAGGUGCAAUGUUGAAGUGCUUGAUCUUGAGUUGAGGUUGAAUACCAAAGAUGGGGCAACACCUGAAUUGCCACCUUGCAUCUAUUGCUGUGAAUCUUUGAGGUCAAUGUUGAUCAACACAGAGACAAUUCUUAAAGCACCCUCCUUUGCUUGUUCCAGUAAUCUCCAAUACUUGAAGUUGACAAGUGUUAGAAUGGAUGAUGGCUUCGGCAAAUGGAUCUCGGGCUCAUGCAAAUGCAUUAAGGAACUAUUGUUAGACAAUGUCCAUGUGGGAAGUUUCACCAUUGAAAGCUCGUCUUUGGAAUCAUUUACGUAUGAGACUUAUUUUUG